CUUCCGCCUUCCAAGUGCUCAGAUUACAGGUGUGCACCACCAUGCCCGAUUUACUGUUGUUAGGUCUCAAACAUAAGCCUUCCUGCAUGCUAGGCAAGCACUCUGCCAAUUGAACUACAUCCCUCAUUUUCCAGAUCAAUAUCCAACAUGCCCCAGAUUAGUUUGCCAAGAAGGGCCCUAUUUUUUAUGAUUUUGUGAAUGUCCAUAUGAUUGCUGUGAAUGUCCCUUCACUUAGAGAAGCGAAUUGUGGUCUUGGAAUUCUUGGUCGUGACCACAGGGCUCUGUGAGGUCUCACAACACUGACAUUCUUCUUCAGACUCCGACAUGGAGGGGUGGGAACUGAGAGCUAAGGACAGCAGCUGCCAGGCCAAACAUGGCUGGCGUGCUGAGUUGGCGGUUUGUAGCUUGGCACCAGCUGUUUGGUCUGAGCUUCCCGUCUCGGUUGUGUCAUGGUGUAGUUUGGGCAUUACUACACCCAAACUACAAAUGAGGGUCAGUGGGCUACGGAGCCAGUGGGAAACUGUGGUUCUGGGCCUCAGUGGGCCUUGUAUGUCCCAGGCAUGUGCUUACCACUUGGCUGCCCCUCCGAGCCUCUACUUCCUGCCACCCAUUGUGGUGUCGUGUCCCUUUGUUACUCUGACACUGGCCCGCAGCUUUUCCUUUCCCUGUGCCUUCUCUUAUUUUUGGGAAGAGAGGUGAACAUUGGCUGUGUAAGACCCUGUUGUUCUGUCAUUGCUAGGGUACCUGAGUGUGAAUCCUGCUAACAAUGUGGUGGGGUCAUUUCUAGCCUCCGCCUAUUUCAGGAUCUUCUUACAGAAGAUCUUACAGAUCUGCAAAACUUCUUUGUGAUGUUGAGUCCAGGGGAGGAGAGGAAGCACCUUGGCAUCAGAAAGGGGCUCUUUUCUUGGCCAAAGAAACAAACAAAUGGAAUCCCAGCCUCAGCUAGGGAGGGGGUUGCUAGCUAAAUGUAGGCUGAAAACAGGGCCUGCAGAAACUUCCUCAAGCAUCGAACCUCUCAGCUUGAUUCAUUCUCUUCAGCUGGAUGCCACAAAUCCGACUAGCACCCUGAUUAAGAAACAGCAUGGCUGCAGUCCAGGAACAGCCCGUCCCUCACAGAUGACCCCUGACCCCAGCUGCACAGGUCACUUCCUCACUGGGUCCUUCAUCCGGGCUUAUAGGUGAGGAUGGUCGCUCAACAUGAGCACCGUGAUUAGGAGGCUAAUUGUGGCUAAGCAGUCUCCUCAGCAGUGGCCUGGUGGGACCCUUAUCUCCUGGCUUUCUCAGCUGGUACGCUUACUGGGAGUUGGAAAACCAUUUAGUUGCCUGCUGCACUGCCAGGUGUUGUGUGAGCUUUGGCUGCGUUCCCCAACCGGCCUGGAAGGUACGGAUUUCUUGAAGAGGAGUUAAAACUGCAACAGCUUUUUACCAGAGGCCAGUGCCUUGUGAGCACAUGCCGUCCCCCGGGGCCUGGACCCUGGCUUCCUCUGUAAGAUGACACUGAUAUGCUAUUUAUUCCCUCUCCUUUAUGAAUUGUUACAGGGAUCAGAUAAAAUGUGAGAUACUAAGGAUAAGUUAUUUAUAUUAGGGUUCUUGGGAAAAAGAAUACUCAAUGGGUAAUUGCUUAAUUGGGGAGCCUUGUGCCUGCCAUGUUUGAGACAAAUAGAAUAGUCAUUAGGACAUAGAGAGCUGUGUUCCAGUAAAGGCCAAGGCCUCUGGUCACAGACACUCAUAGUCCCAACAGGAAGGGAGCCAGAUAUAGUGGCACAUUUGUGCUUUAGUAAAUAAAGCUUGCCUGGCGAUCAGAGGGCACACUAGCCAGCUGUACAGACCAGGGUGUGGUGGCACACACCUUUAACCCUAGGACUCGGGAGACAGAGGCCCAUGGAUCUCUGAGUUCAAGGCUACCCUGGGCUACACAAACAAGAUGGAGCCAGAAACACCACUGCUCCAUUGCUGGGGACAAGGAGGUUGGAGAGGUCUAGAGAGCAGACUCCUGGUGCAUAAGCAGAGCACGGCAGUGGAGUCAGAGAACAACCUGGGCUCCAGCAAGCUAUUAAAGCUGGCCUCGGUCUCUGCCCACCUUGGCAGGCCCAGUAGGGAUUUCCUUAAGCAGACCCAUGCUUCCCCAGCUUUAAGGGGAAGAGCUGAUUCAGAUGCAGAAACAACAUAUCACAAACACUUCUUUUUACUUUAUUAUUGGUUGGUAGAAAGGACUUUAACACUAUAAAUAUUCAUAAACUGCAGUUCCAAGAUUAUAAAAAAGUCAAAUUUGGUCUUGGGCUUUAGAACUGACACUCAAGUCACUGUAACAGAAGCUGCUGUCCCUUCUAUCCUCAAGAAGGCACGAGGAUUGGAGCCAGAGCACUUGAAAAGCUUCAUCUUCCCCUUCCAAUGCCUUGCACAGUAACAAAAGACUCCAGGACUCAGUCACUGUCUGAGAAGGCAGCGUGUAAUGGCUUCAAAGCUGGUGAGUCCUCAGAAAGAAAGCCAUGCCCGCCGCUCCCUUUGUACCCCCCUGCCUUGCUCCAGGAUUCAUGCAGCAAUGACCACUCAGGUAGUCUCCACCACUGGGUGUUCCUGGUGAAAGCAGCAGUUUUAAUUUUGUUUUGCCAAUCUUCAUUCCAUAGGGUCUGCUUUGCCAGCGAAGGGGUGAAGUGUCUAAGGAACUCAAUAGGAAAAGCCCGUAAAUACCUCCCAUGACAAGGCCUUUCAUUUCAUGCUCCGGGGCCACAAUUUAACUGCGCUUUACCGAAGUUAUUCCAAAUAUGCUGCUUGGAAUAAAACUAUACUUUGCUUUA